rnacentral:lncRNA from 1 species
AUGACUAACGUUGUUUGUUUGCUUGGAUGAUUCAGUGGAAUAUGCUGCAACUAAAUUAGUGGAAAUGCACUUGAUGUUCGUGAAACUAAAUCCGAACAAGCAGAGAUUAUGAAUCCGGAUUUUUCACUUUUCUGAUGGGCUUCGCGAUGAUCUGUGAGUGUGCAGCACAGAAUGUCAUCAGAACAUCCCACGUGCAGAAUGGAUGCCGAUUGUUCUGCGAUUGGUUGGCAGUUGGUUCCUCUUUCUAUUAGGAUUUCCAGAACAUAUGACAGUAGCCAUCUCUGAAGUUGCUGAAGGAGGACAAGAAAGUAAAUUGCCCAACUUUUUGAAGUCUGGCAAGUCUUUCUAUGGUGCAGGAGGAACAAAGGUACAAGCCUUCUGCUUUAGUUACAACAAGGUAUGUGGGCAAGAAAGAAAUAAGCCUCGAGCCUCAAGAAAUUUGUUUAGGACAAAGUGAAAAUUUCAGGAAUGAUACAACUAAUAUCGUUUAGGAAGAAUGAACCCAAAUAUAUUCUUUUUUCUAUUCACAUGAUUUUAAUUUUUUUUCUAAUAGAUGUGGAGUCAGUAGGGACUGAAAGAGUUCUCUGAGCUUCUAGAAAUAUUCUGCUUCCUUUAAAAAGUAGUUUAUUCUGAAGAAAGGCGAUUUCUGUGUAAAAUCCAGAGUGUUCCAUCUAACUGAGGCUUUUUGCAGAAGGUAGAGCUAAAGAUUUUGUUGAGGCCCAAAUCCCUUGGGGAGAAGCCAGUGUUUUCCUAGGUGAUGCCCAAGUGAGGACCUUCUGGGGAAGGAAAAGAGGAAAGGAAAAAUGGGAUUUAAAGUGAAUUCCAAAUGAAUCCUACUGCUGCAGGUAUAAGAAAGCCAGUCCUUGGGAACCUAGAGUUAGGUAGGUCCAUCGCAAAGCAGAGGUCAGAUUCGUUAAUGGACUCAGAACUAAGUCUAAGAAGAUCAGUAGGCCCACAUACACUUCUGCCCAUAAAAAGUCGAUUCUAG